UGGCCCACUGAGUCGUGCGGGUGAGAUCCUGCGUUCAGGUUCGAGCAUCGCGCAGCGAUACGACAAUGCGCAGCGUUGCCCGCAGGGUGAGGCCACAGGCCGAAUCAAUCCUGCACGACCCACCA
rnacentral:sRNA from 1 species